AGAGUUUGAUCCUGGCUCAGAACGAACGCUGGCGGCGUGCCUAACACAUGCAAGUCGAGCGAGAAAGCCCGCAAGGGUGAGUAAAGCGGCGCACGGGUGCGUAACACGUGGGUAAUCUGCCCUGAAGUCCGGAAUAACUCGCCGAAAGGCGUGCUAAUGCCGGAUAAGACCACGGGAGCUUCGGCUCCUGCGGGAAAAGGUGGCCUCUGUAUACAAGCUAUCACUUCAGGAUGAGCCCGCGGCCCAUCAGCUCGUUGGCGGGGUAAUGGCCCACCAAGGCUACGACGGGUAGCUGGUCUGAGAGGACGAUCAGCCACACUGGAACUGAGACACGGUCCAGACUCCUACGGGAGGCAGCAGUGGGGAAUCUUGCGCAAUGGGCGAAAGCCUGACGCAGCAACGCCGCGUGUGUGAUGAAGGUCUUCGGAUCGUAAAGCACUGUCGCGAGGGACGAAUAAGGGGCGGGUUAACAUCCCGUUCCGAUGACGGUACCUCGAGAGGAAGCACCGGCUAACUCUGUGCCAGCAGCCGCGGUAAUACAGAGGGUGCAAGCGUUGUUCGGAAUUAUUGGGCGUAAAGCGCGUGUAGGCGGCUUUGUAAGUUGGGUGUGAAAGCCCUCGGCUUAACCGAGGAAGUGCGCCCAAAACUGCAUGGCUUGAGUACCGGAGAGGGUGGCGGAAUUCCCGGUGUAGAGGUGAAAUUCGUAGAUAUCGGGAGGAACACCAGCGGCGAAGGCGGCCACCUGGACGGAUACUGACGCUGAGACGCGAAAGCGUGGGGAGCAAACAGGAUUAGAUACCCUGGUAGUCCACGCCGUAAACGAUGAGCGCUAGGUGUUGUGGGUGUUGACCCCUGCAGUACCGCAGCUAACGCAUUAAGCGCUCCGCCUGGGAAGUACGGCCGCAAGGCUAAAACUCAAAGGAAUUGAUGG
rnacentral:rRNA from 1 species